AAAGGAAUAGACGGGGACCCGCACAAGCGGUGGAGCAUGUGGUUUAAUUCGAAGCAACGCGAAGAACCUUACCAAAUCUUGACAUCCUUUGACCGCUCUAGAGAUAGAGUCUUCCCCUUCGGGGGACAAAGUGACAGGUGGUGCAUGGUUGUCGUCAGCUCGUGUCGUGAGAUGUUGGGUUAAGUCCCGCAACGAGCGCAACCCUUAAGCUUAGUUGCCAUCAUUAAGUUGGGCACUCUAGGUUGACUGCCGGUGACAAACCGGAGGAAGGUGGGGAUGACGUCAAAUCAUCAUGCCCCUUAUGAUUUGGGCUACACACGUGCUACAAUGGAUAAUACAAAGGGCAGCGAAUCCGCGAGGCCAAGCAAAUCCCAUAAAAUUAUUCUCAGUUCGGAUUGUAGUCUGCAACUCGACUACAUGAAGCUGGAAUCGCUAGUAAUCGUAGAUCAGCAUGCUACGGUGAAUACGUUCCCGGGUCUUGUACACACCGCCCGU
rnacentral:rRNA from 1 species